rnacentral:rRNA from 1 species
CGGAGGGAUCAUUACCGAGUUUACAACUCCCAAACCCCUGUGAACAUACCACUUGUUGCCUCGGCGGAUCAGCCCGCUCCCGGUAAAACGGGACGGCCCGCCAGAGGACCCCUAAACUCUGUUUCUAUAUGUAACUUCUGAGUAAAACCAUAAAUAAAUCAAAACUUUCAACAACGGAUCUCUUGGUUCUGGCAUCGAUGAAGAACGCAGCAAAAUGCGAUAAGUAAUGUGAAUUGCAGAAUUCAGUGAAUCAUCGAAUCUUUGAACGCACAUUGCGCCCGCCAGUAUUCUGGCGGGCAUGCCUGUUCGAGCGUCAUUUCAACCCUCAAGCACAGCUUGGUGUUGGGACUCGCGUUAAUUCGCGUUCCCCAAAUUGAUUGGCGGUCACGUCGAGCUUCCAUAGCGUAGUAGUAAAACCCUCGUUACUGGUAAUCGUCGCGGCCACGCCGUUAAACCCCAACUUCUGAAUGUUGACCUCGGAUCAGGUAGGAAUACCCGCUGAACUUAAGCAUAUCAAUAAGCGGAGGAAAAGAAACCAACAGGGAUUGCCCUAGUAACGGCGAGUGAAGCGGCAACAGCUCAAAUUUGAAAUCUGGCUCUCGGGCCCGAGUUGUAAUUUGUAGAGGAUACUUUUGAUGCGGUGCCUUCCGAGUUCCCUGGAACGGGACGCCAUAGAGGGUGAGAGCCCCGUCUGGUUGGAUGCCAAAUCUCUGUAAAGUUCCUUCAACGAGUCGAGUAGUUUGGGAAUGCUGCUCUAAAUGGGAGGUAUAUGUCUUCUAAAGCUAAAUACCGGGC